rnacentral:rRNA from 1 species
AACGAACGCUGGCGGCAGGCUUAACACAUGCAAGUCGAGCGCCCCGCAAGGGGAGCGGCCGACGGGUGAGUAACGCGUGGGAACGUACCUUUUGGUUCGGAACAACUCCGGGAAACUGGAGCUAAUACCGGAUAAGCCCUAACGGGGAAAGAUUUAUCGCCGAAAGAUCGGCCCGCGUCUGAUUAGCUAGUUGGUGAGGUAACGGCUCACCAAGGCGACGAUCAGUAGCUGGUCUGAGAGGAUGAUCAGCCACACUGGGACUGAGACACGGCCCAGACUCUGAGGUGGGGCAGCAGUGGGGAACAUGGCACACUGGGCGCAUGUCUGAUGCAGUGAUGCGCCGUGGAUGAAGAAGGCCCGUGGGUGGUAAAGGAAUUUGAGAGGGGAGGAAGGGAGUAAAGUUAAUACCGUGGCUCAGUGACCUUACGGGCAGAAGAAGCACCGGCUCACUUCGUG